GGAGGGUGCAAGCGUUAAUCGGAAUUACUGGGCGUAAAGCGCACGCAGGCGGUUUGUUAAGUCAGAUGUGAAAUCCCCGGGCUCAACCUGGGAACUGCAUCUGAUACUGGCAAGCUUGAGUCUCGUAGAGGGGGGUAGAAUUCCAGGUGUAGCGGUGAAAUGCGUAGAGAUCUGGAGGAAUACCGGUGGCGAAGGCGGCCCCCUGGACGAAGACUGACGCUCAGGUGCGAAAGCGUGGGGAGCAAACAGGAUUAGAUACCCUGGUAGUCCACGCCGUAAACGAUGUCGACUUGGAGGUUGUGCCCUUGGGGCGUGGCUUCCGGAGCUAACGCGUUAAGUCGACCGCCUGGGGAGUACGGCCGCAAGGUU
rnacentral:rRNA from 1 species